CGGAGGGUGAGUAACGCGUGGGUAACCUACCCUGUACACACGGAUAACAUACCGAAAGGUAUGCUAAUACGGGAUAAUAUAUUUGAGAGGCAUCUCUUGAAUAUCAAAGGUGAGCCAGUACAGGAUGGACCCGCGUCUGAUUAGCUAGUUGGUAAGGUAGCGGCUUACCAAGGCGACGAUCAGUAGCCGACCUGAGAGGGUGAUCGGCCACAUUGGAACUGAGACACGGUCCAA
rnacentral:rRNA from 1 species